rnacentral:rRNA from 1 species
UACGUAGGGGGCAAGCGUUGUCCGGAAUCAUUGGGCGUAAAGCGCGCGUAGGCGGCCCGGUAAGUCCGCUGUAAAAGUCCAGGGCUCAACCCUGGAAAGCCGGUGGAUACUGUCGGGCUAGAGUCCGGAAGAGGCGAGUGGAAUUCCGGGUGUAGCGGUGGAAUGCGUAGAGAUCCGGAAGAACACCGGUGGCGAAGGCGGCCUGCUGGGCAGUAGCUGACGCUGAGGCGCGACAGCGUGGGGAGCAAACAGG